rnacentral:misc_RNA from 1 species
UGAACUGUCUUGACCGGCCUUUUGACUUCGAGUGAUCGAGGGAAAAGGGUUCGAAGCCGUUUGGCUUCGCAAGGCCAAGGGCCGUCGCUGCUGAUGCAGCGUGGGUUCUGCGGUUUUGGAAGAGGUUGGGACGUGUCAGGUUUCCAAGCAUUGUUA